GAACCUUAGACUGAACAAUGAUAUUCUUCUGUGGAAAACAUUAGCGGUCUCAGGAACAUUUGCUGAACAGCUUGUGUAUUGUUCAUACUGUAACCAGGAACAAUGGAUAUUCGCCAGGACAUGUGUCGUACCUUGUGUACACCGGACGUUCCGACCGCUCUGUCAACGUCUGUUAACUACCAGUAUGACAAGAGAACUAUUUCAGUGAAGUUUUAUUGAUAGAUAGACAAUUUAAGCCUUGCUUUAUGAUUGAGCCCAGAUGUUUAUAUGGUCCACCAGAACAUCCCAGGUGCUUCAUGUAUGAUUAGAUAAAAGGAUACGAAGGAUCCCUGCUUUACCAUCUUGUGAUUAAAAAAUGAAGGAAAAGAAGAUUUGAAAAAAAAAUCUUUGCAAGAAGAGGCCGAGGGUUUUGGGAGAAGAGGAUUGCCAGAGGAUCUCGAGGUGCAGGAAAGAGUGCAGCUUUACGUGUAGCGUACAGAAUUCUGGCUCGACUGCUCCU